CAAUAGCGUAUAUUAAAGUUGUUGCAGUUAGAACGCUCGUAGUCGGAUUUCGGGUCGGGCCGACCGGUCUGCCGAUGGGUACGCACUGGUCGGCGCGUCCUUCCUCUCGGAGACUGUUCCUACUCUUAACUGAGCGGGAGCAGGAUACGGGACUUUUACUUUGAAAAAAUCAGAGUGUUUCAAGCAGGCAGCUCGCUCUUGCAUGGAUUAGCAUGGGAUAAUGAAAUAGGACUUUGGUGCUAUUUUGUUGGUUUCGAACACCGAAGUAAUGAUGAGAAGGGACAGUCAGGGGCACUCGUAUUCCGCCGAGAGAGGUGAAAUUCUCAGACCAGCGGAAGACGAACCACUGCGAAAGCAUUUGCCAGGGAUGUUUUCACUG
rnacentral:rRNA from 1 species